GCCUGCUUGGUCUAGUGGUAUGACGUGUCCUUCACACGGACAAGGUCGAGAGUUCGAUCCUCCCAGCUGGUA